AUACGGAGGAUCCGAGCGUUAUCCGGAUUUAUUGGGUUUAAAGGGUGCGCAGGCGGCCAUUUAAGUCAGCGGUUAAAUCGUGGGGCUCAGCCCCAUUCUGCCGUUGAUACUGGGUGGCUUGAUUGCGGUCGAGGUUGGCGGAAUUCGUUGUGUAGCGGUGAAAUGCAUAGAUAUGACGAAGAACACCGAUUGCGUAGGCAGCUGACCAGACCGCAAAUGACGCUCAUGCACGAAAGUGCGGGGAUCGAACAGGAUUAGAUACCCUGGUAGUCCGCACAGUAAACGAUGAAUACUUGUUUUCGGCGAUAUAAUGUCGGAGGCAAAGCGAAAGCGAUAAGUAUUCCACCUGGGGAGUACGCCGGCAACGGUGAAACUCAAAUGAAUUGACGGGG
rnacentral:rRNA from 1 species